CGAGAAAGUUCUCUUCGGAGAGCGAGUAGAGUGGCGCACGGGUGAGUAACGCGUAGGUAAUCUACCCUUAUACCUGGGAUAACAUUGGGAAACUGGUGCUAAUACCGGAUACACUUCUUAGCUGCGGGGCGAGGGAGGAAAGGUGACCUCUUCAUGAAAGUUACCGUAUAGGGAUGAGCCUGCGUACCAUUAGCUAGUAGGUGGGGUAACGGCCCACCUAGGCGACGAUGGUUAGCGGGUCUGAGAGGAUGAUCCGCCACACUGGAACUGGAACACGGACCAGACUCCUACGGGAGGCAGCAGUGAGGAAUAUUGCGCAAUGGGGGAAACCCUGACGCAGCGACGCCGCGUGAGUGAGGAAGGCCUUCGGGUCGUAAAGCUCUGUCAGAAGGGAAGAAGUGUUAUACGGUUAAUACCCGUAUAAUUUGACGGUACCUUCAGAGGAAGCACCGGCUAACUCCGUGCCAGCAGCCGCGGUAAUACGGAGGGUGCGAGCGUUGUUCGGAAUUACUGGGCGUAAAGGGCGCGUAGGCGGCUGGAUAAGUCAGAUGUGAAAGCCCACGGCUUAACUGUGGAAGUGCAUUUGAAACUGUCUGGCUUGAGUAUCGGAGGGGAGUGUGGAAUUCCCGGUGUAGAGGUGAAAUUCGUAGAGAUCGGGAGGAACACCGGUGGCGAAGGCGACACUCUGGACGAAUACUGACGCUGAGGCGCGAAAGCGUGGGGAGCAAACAGGAUUAGAUACCCUGGUAGUCCACGCCGUAAACGAUGUGAACUAGAGGUAGGAGGUGUUGAUUCCUUCUG
rnacentral:rRNA from 1 species